AUAUCUUUCUCGUCCUUUUGGCUAAGAUCAAGUGUAGUAUUUGUUCUUAUCAGUUUAAUAUCUGAUAUGUGGUUCAUAGAACCACAUGAUAUUAAAUGUAUUUUUAUAGGGGUAGGGCCCACUCACAAUAGCUUGUUAUUGGGGCUCUUGGUCGUCGCUUGUGCGUUGCACUACAACACCAAAUGGUGAAUUAUCU
rnacentral:snRNA from 1 species